GUAAUACCUCCCGUGCUGAUGGGUUUGUGCAUACCUGUUUCUAAUAAGACCCUUCAGCCCAGAAACCCACUAGCAAGCCCCACUUCCCUUUGGUGCUUUUCAUCUCCCUUCCUGAGAUGUCAGGGAGGGUGUGAUCAUCUCCUUUUUAGUGCUUUCAUCUCCCUUCCUGAGAAGUCAGGGAGGGUGUGAUCACCUCCCCUUAGGGGCUCUGAUUUCCCUGAGGAGUCAGGGAUGGCAUGACCACCUGUGUUCUAAAACAAAAGAAAGCGGGAGAUGUAAUGGGCUGAGGCUUGAGUUGAUGCACUGAGGUCCCAAACACAUGAGGCUAAAUAGUAAUUGGACCAUACUCUAUUAAUAUAUAUGCUUGGAGAAAGAAUGGCCCCACCCACUCUUUGUGCAAAACCUGAUGUGUUAUAUAGGAAAUGAUGUUUUUGGUGGGUGGAGGCAGGGGAGUGGAAAGGGAAACGGAAAGAGAGGCUGCUGGCUGGUGUCUUGUCACAGCUGCUUGCAUUGCUAUCGUGACCGCCCUUGACCUCCAAUCCCCCUCUGCUAGCUGGCUUCCUGUCGCAGCUUCCCAUAUUGUUUUCUUCACCUCUACUGAGAAUAAAGAUUGAAGAUUUUUCCCUUAA